rnacentral:snRNA from 1 species
GGAUGUGAGGGUAAUCUGGCUGGGACAAAUCUCCAUUGAUCACCAGGGUUGAUUCAGCUAAUCUGCCUGGCUUGGUGGGUAUCCCCUUCCUCCCUCACUGCUCCAAGUGUGUCCUUCCUGAAGCUGCAUGAAGAGGAUGACCUCCUCGAUAGAAGAGGAUUGUUCUGGGAUCAAGGGUAUAUGAGUAGCUGCCCUCCCCUGCUAGAACUUCCAAACAAGCUCUUAAAAUGGACAGGACACGUUGGAAGUUGUGCCUGUAUCCACUCCUUUCUUCCCAACUCUGUUCCUUUAAGUUGUU